GCUAUCGAGGUUCGACUAAGCCAUGCGAGUCGAAUGUAGCAAUACAUGGCGAACUGCUCAGUAACACGUGGACAACCUGCCCUUAGGUUGGGUAUAAACCCGGGAAACUGGGUAUAAUACCCGAUAGGUCUCGAUUGCUGGAAUGCAUCGAGAUUUAAAGCUCCGGCGCCUAAGGAUGGGUCUGCGGCCUAUCAGGUAGUAGUGGGUGUAGCGUACCUACUAGCCUACGACGGGUACGGGUUGUGAGUGCAAGAGCCCGGAGAUGGAUUCUGAGACACGAAUCCAGGCCCUACGGGGUGCAGCAGGCGCGAAAACUUUACAAUGCUGGCAACAGCGAUAAGGGAACCUCGAGUGCCAGGUUACAAAUCUGGCUGUCGAGAUGCCUAAAAAGCAUUUCAUAGCAAGGGCCGGGCAAGACCGGUGCCAGCCGCCGCGGUAACACCGGCGGCUCGAGUGGUAACCGUUAUUAUUGGGUCUAAAGGGUCUGUAGCCGGCCGGAUAAGUCUCUUGAGAAAUCUGGCAGCUUAACUGUCAGGCUUUCAGGAGAUACUGUCUGGCUCGAGGCCGGGAGAGGUGAGAGGUACUUCAGGGGUAGGGGUGAAAUCUUGUAAUCCUUGAAGGACCACCAGUGGCGAAGGCGUCUCACCAGAACGGACCUGACGGCAAGGGACGAAAGCUAGGGGCACGAACCGGAUU
rnacentral:rRNA from 1 species